rnacentral:rRNA from 1 species
UACGAAGGGGGCAAGCGUUGUUCGGAUUUACUGGGCGUAAAGGGCGCGCAGGCGGCUCUUCAAGUCAGAUGUGAAAGCCCCGGGCUCAACCUGGGAAUUGCAUUUGAGACUGAAUAGCUAGGGUGCGGAAGAGGGAAGCGGAAUUUCCGGUGUAGCGGUGAAAUGCGUAGAUAUCGUGAGGAACACCAGAGGCGAAGGCGGCUACCUGGACAAUUGCUGACGCUCAGGCACGAAAGCGUGGGGAGCAAAAGGG